GACAGAGGAGCCAAGCGUUGUCCGGAUUGACUGGGCGUAAAGCGCACGCAGGCGGCUGUGCACGUGGGGUGUGAAAGCUGGCGGCUUAAUUGCCAGACGCCACCUCAUACGGCACGGCUCGAGCCCGUGAGAGGUCCACGGAAUUGCCGGUGUAGUGGUGAAAUGCGUAGAGAUCGGCAGGAACACCCAGGGGGAAACCAGUCGACUGGGCAGCACCUGACGCUGAGGUGCGAGAGCGUGGGGAGCGAACAGG
rnacentral:rRNA from 1 species